ACCGAGCCCAGCUAGUACACAGAAUACCAUUUUUUACUUAAGUAUAUUAAUCUAGAAGAGUUUUUUUUAAAAUACAGUAUACCAUUUUUAUCUAUAACACUUAAAGACAAUCAAAGCCAAAUUAUGCUGUUUCAAGAUACCAUAUACUUAGAAAAACAUCUAUAAAAAGCAAGAGAAACAUACAAAUCAGGCCCAUCUGGAGAGAAGGGAGUGAAGCAUUGCGCUGAUACGGGGAUAAAUAUGCUGGUUGGGUAGACAGGCAGUCCUUAUGCUUUUGGCUGACGUAGAUGUUACGUACUAUUUCAUGUGUUAUCACACUCUCCAGUAAACACGUAACAUAAGAGAAUAAUUAACCACUAUCAAGCGUUCUCAUCUUGAGACAGGAAGAUGUAGAGGAAAGACCUUGAUGUGUGUGUCAGUUACAAGGAUGUACACCAGUGACUGACAUGACUUGGUGCAAAUCUUGGGUAGAGACCUAUACUUAAGCUCCUCACCCCCACCUGCCGAGGCGUAAGGGCUCAGAGGGGGUUCCAUGGGGUGGGCGGGAGUGGUAAGGGUCGAGGUGCAGCCACAGCCUGGCUCUGUGCACACCCCCUCCCUCCCCCUGGUCCCAUGUGCACACCCUCUCCCUGCCCCCUGCCCCUUGUGCACACCCUCUGUACCCCCCUUCCCGCCCCAGCCUGUGUUUGCAGUGCUACAGGGUGGCUGCAGCCUUUGCCUCCCACAGCUCCUCAAGGUCAGAGGGCUGGGAACCCCUGGGAUGUGGCUGGGAUGAGGACCCUGCCCCUCCUCAGGCAUUUCCAGGCAAGGGGCACAGAGACACAGCCAGCCCAGCAGCUGAGCCCCUCCUAUCAGGCCAGGUGGGAAACUGAAGCAUGAACACAACCCCAGACUGGAAAUAAAAAGCCGUCAUGUACUGUGUGCCUA
rnacentral:lncRNA from 10 species